CAACACUACAUUUAAAGAAGAAAGUGCGGAAGAAACAAGCCAUUAGGAACUAGAAUAAACAAUUUGGCAAGGUUGUGAAAUUGAUUGACCCAAGGAGUUCAGGUUGUUCUUGACUUAUACUUGGACGCGAGGAGCCAAUUUGAUGAUCGAACUAAGGCCAUUCAAUAAGUGUAAACCUUUUGUUAAACCAUCAGCAGAAUAACUAUUUUCAGAUCUACCUCCUAAUGAAGAACAUGUCCCCACUGUAGUUCUGGAUGUGAGUGAUAAUUUGUACACUCAGAUUGGAAGGUGAAAAUGUAUUUUCUACUUAGUUCAGAAUCUUA